CGGGGAUAUAUUAGUAGGAAAUAUAUUUGUGUGCUAAUAUUAGGAACACAUUGUGGUUUAGGUUGAAACCUUGACAUAGGCAGACUUCGUUUCGUGAGCCAUGGGAGACAGCUGUCUGAUGGAAUUCCUAGCCACGUUAUCGCAAACUAAGCGCAAAACUUAAAACAUUGUGGGCUUCAUAGACGUCUCCAAGGUUUUUUGUAAUGGUGAAGUGGUAACGUGUUCACGCGCGAACUCCGGGACACGCGGGGUGGUAUAAAUUCAAAGCCGCUACGUGCUGGAAAAGACAAGUCGUUCAAGGUACUAUUUACCUAAGGCACCAGUCGAUGUGAAGAUCAAAACACUUGUAAUGGUCAUAAGUUUUCUUCUUUAACUUCUGCAAGAGAACAGGAUGGCUCUAACUAUGGUCGUAGACGGUGGCAUUCAAAAAAUGGUUACGGCGUCGUGAUGAUAUUUAAUCAAUGUUUCGAUCAUCUCAUCUCAUAAAAAUGAUGUGGAGAGGUAAAAAUAAGAUUCUGACAUGCCUUUACAAGCAAAUACAACUUUUGAAGCGCGUGCCGUCAACAGAGGAAAUUUCAGCUGUUAAAUACUUUGUGAAUGAAAACCAACGAAUCAUUCACGAAGAGGAAUUACUUCAAAAGAAACAGUAUAUUCACGUUCCGAAAUGAAGAUUUAUUAGUGAAGUUUUUGUCCUUCGAAGGCCACAACGCUGCGAAAAUUCACUGAAAAUUAGUAAAUACGUUCGGCGAGGAGACUUUGAGCGAAAACACAGCACUAUGUAAAUAAUGCAGCAAUCAUUUCAAGAACAGAGAUUGGACUUCUAAAAACUGGCGAUGAAGUAACAAAAUGCUGGAACUCGCAGACCAAGAACACAUAGUCGCAAUUGAAGAGGCAUACUACGAAAGCACAGCUUAGAGUCUACGGGCUGUGUCGGCCAAAGCUAGAAUUAUAAAUGAGAUACUUAAAAUACGGCAAUUCAGUUAAAAUGGGUGGAUUGACCGGUGGAUUGACUUUUGGCCAGUUGUAUAUGGAUGUGGUGUACUCCAUGUGAAAUUUGCGGAGCUCUAAUCGACAAAAAACUUGCUUGGAGCAUACGUUAACAACAGAAGAAGUAUGGCUCAACUUCUGUUGCCAGCCAGAUGCGGACAAGGCGAAAUGAUGGUAUUGUUCUCGUGAGAUAAUCGAGCUGGACGACUAUGCCGACUAGGAUCUAAGCGCGCCUAUGAAGCUAUUGUUUUGGUGACAUACAGAAGCCCUAUAGUGUUUCUUGUAUCGGCUGCUUCUCAAGUACUUUCUACAUCUAGUUCCGCCAUCGGAAACAAUGUGGAGUGAAAUGUCAGAAAUUGAUCGUAUCAUUCUUGGCCUCCGCCGGUGCAGGCGUCGGGGUGAAACUUUGUGGCACAAGCUUGUUUAUUUCACUCGACUGAACGACAAACUUAAAUACGAUACGAUGAAAAAAUAAAUAUAAAAAAGACACGAUAAGCUAAAACCUGAUGAACUAGUAGGUGGAGCCGAUAUCAUAGAUAUUUGAAGGGAUCAAAUUAAGCUGUAUGGCUAUAUUGAGAUAGUUAUUUGCUUAAUCCGUAACGUAUAGCUUCUUCUGUUAAGUUCUUUUUUUUUUUUUAAUUACUUCUUCUUACUUUAUUUGAAUGUUGAAACUGAAAU